GAUGAACGCUAGCUACAGGCUUAACACAUGCAAGUCGAGGGACCGGCGCACGGGUGAGUAACGCGUAUCCAACCUUCCCAUGACUAAGGGAUAACCUGCCGAAAGGCAGACUAAUACCUUAUGGUUAUGGAUGGGGAUGCGUCUGAUUAGUUAGUUGGCGGGGUAACGGCCCACCAAGGCAACGAUCAGUAGGGGUUCUGAGAGGAAGGUCCCCCACAUUGGAACUGAGACACGGUCCAAACUCCUACGGGAGGCAGCAGUGAGGAAUAUUGGUCAAUGGGCGAGAGCCUGAACCAGCCAAGUAGCGUGCAGGAUGACGGCUUCGGGUUGUAAAGCACUUUCAGCGAGGAGGCGUUACUCGCAGAAGAAGCACCGGCUAACUCCGUGCCAGCAGCCGCGGUAAUUC
rnacentral:rRNA from 1 species